AGGAUGUAGUAUAAUGGAAGUACUAGGAGUUUUGAUCUCUUCGGUGCAGGUUCAAGUCCUGUUCUUCUA
rnacentral:tRNA from 1 species